rnacentral:rRNA from 1 species
UACGAAGGGGGCUAGCGUUGCUCGGAAUUACUGGGCGUAAAGCGCACGUAGGCGGCUUUCUAAGUCGGGGGUGAAAUCCUGGAGCUCAACUCCAGAACUGCCUUCGAUACUGGAAAGCUCGAGUCCGGGAGAGGUGAGUGGAACUGCGAGUGUAGAGGUGAAAUUCGUAGAUAUUGGGAGGAACACCGGUGGCGAAGGCGGCUACCUGGACAGUGACUGACGCUGAGACGCGAAAGCAUGGGUAGCAAACAGG